CCUACGGGCGGCAGCAGUGGGGAAUAUUGCACAAUGGGGGAAACCCUGAUGCAGCGACGCCGCGUGAGUGAAGAAGUAUUUCGGUAUGUAAAGCUCUAUCAGCAGGGAAGAAAAUGACGGUACCUGAUUAAGAAGCCCCGGCUAACUACGUGCCAGCAGCCGCGGUAAUACGUAGGGGGCAAGCGUUAUCCGGAUUUACUGGGUGUAAAGGGAGCGUAGACGGGAGGACAAGUCUGGAGGGAAAUGCCGGGGCUUAACCCCGGAACUGCUUUUGAAACUGUGGAGCUGGAGUGCAGGAGAGGUAAGUGGAAUGCCUAGUGUAGCGGUGAAAUGCGUAGAUAUUAGGAGGAACACCAGUUGCGAAGGUGGCUUACUGGACUGUAACUGACGUUGAGGCUCGAAAGCGUGGGGAGCAAACAGGAUUAGAUACCCCUGUAGUC
rnacentral:rRNA from 1 species